UUCAACCCUUCUGGGGCUGGCUGUCAGACGGGGCAGUGUUUGCUUAUGGGAUGAGCAGUUGGACGCAGAGAACCCGGAUGGCUAGUUGUCACCCACCCAGCCAAAGAGACUUUUCACGAUAAAAGAAAUGUGUCCUUCAGUAAAAAUGACGCCUUCAGGGUGUAAGAAAAAGAAUGAGCCAAGAGGAAGAUCUUCCUGAGACAGUUCGAGCUGCCAGGGUGGCACGGAGUUUUAACAGUCACCUACUUAGCAAACACGGACGGAGUGUAUGUUUGCAAGGCACUGGAUUAGAAGAUGCACAGGAGGGCCGCUGACCUUUAGGAUGCAGAGGAGCUGCGGUGACAACAGCAGCGAAGUGGAGGAACAGAAAGGUGCCGAUCCCUCCGUGCACGGAGCCCGUCCCGCCAGUACCUUCCCCCUCGGAUGUCCCUCCCUGUGUCACUGCCAUAGUCUGAGGAGUUGAAGCAGCCAGGCACUCUGUCCAGCCUGUGGACGCCUCGCUCAGCAAUCGGAGAAGUAACAACAUUCCAGUGGAUGCCCUGAAUACAACACGUGUGCUUUGGGUGUCAGGCAAAUGUGUCUGAAGGCGAAAACCCCCUGGUACCAGUCACACGGCUGAUGUUUCCACAAAAAGAACUGGAAGACCCUCCUGGGCCUGGCCUGGCCGGUCACCAUCCAUCCUGGGUUGGGGGACACAGGGUUCUGCCAAUGUG